AUUGAACGCUGGCGGCAGGCCUAACACAUGCAAGUCGAACGAGUGGCGGACGGGUGAGUAAUGUCAGGGACACUGCCUGAGGGAGGGGGAUAACUACUGGAAACGGUAGCUAAUACCGCAUAACAUCAGCUGUGCCCAGAUGGGAUUAGCUAGUUGGUGGGGUAAAGGCACACCAAUUCGACGAUCCCUAGCUGGUCUGAGAGGAGGACCAGCCACACUGGAACUGAGACACGGUCCAGACGCCUACGGGGGGCAGCAGUGGGGAAUAUGGCACAUUGGGCGCAAGCCUGAUGCAGCCAUGCCGCGUGUAUGAAGAAGGCCUUCGGGUUGUAAAGUACUUUCAGCGGGGAGGCGUUACCCGCAGAAGAAGCACCGGCUAACUCCGUGCCAGCAGCCGCGGUAAUUC
rnacentral:rRNA from 1 species